AGAGUUUGAUCAUGGCUCAGAUUGAACGCUGGCGGAGGUUAAACAAGCAAGUCGAGCGGAAACGAUAGUAGCUUGCUACAGGCGUCAAGCGGCGGACGGGUGAGUAAUACUUAGGAAUCUGCCCAGUAGUGGGGGAAGAUCGGGAAAAACUCGAAUUAAUACCGCAUACACCCUACGGGGAAAAGGGGGCGCUUGCGCUCUCGCUAUUGGAUGAGCCUAAGUCGGAUUAGCUAGUUGGUGGGGUAAAGGCCUACCAAGGCGACGAUCUGUAGCUGGUCUGAGAGGAUGAUCAGCCGCACCGGGACUGA
rnacentral:rRNA from 1 species